AGGGAAAUUGGCAAGUGCUACAAAUCAGGGCUUUUUGUUUUUUUCCAGGGAGCCAUUUACUAGCACACCAUUUGUUAGAGUGUGAACUGGUUAGAAUGUAGACGAGGGAUAGUUGGAGGCCACAGAAGACAAGCAGAGAGACCAAACUAUCUGUACAUUCAUCUAGAAAGGCUAGAUAAAAAUAUAUUAUAUAUAGAUAAGAUUGCAUUAGAUUUGUAAUGUUACCUUCAAGAAAGAAGGAAAUUUCAGGAUAUCAGAAAUGCAGAGGACACAAAGCCCUAACAGUAAUGGUACAUACUAAUAUUAUGGCGGCCAGGAUGAGGGGGAAGAGCAGUUGAUAGAUCCAGAAGUGUCCUUUAGGAUAGAGGUUUGUGUUUCAAUGCCCAGACAGAGACAGGAGACAAGGCUCUGGGCUCAUGGAAGGUGAAGAGUUGGAAUGAAGACCGUUGCAUUGACAAACCCCUCAAAGAACUGCAUGCACCUCAGUGAGAAGAGAAAAUAAAAGCUCCACCUGCUGGCCUGGAAGGUGACCCCUGAUCUCCAUUCCCCUGGACAUCUCAAGGGCACAAAUUCUCUGGACACACGGAGGGAAUAAUGCUGACAUUUUAUAGAAGCUGACCCACUGGAUAUCCUUCUCACCCAACUCCAUUAGGCUGGGGAGAGUAAGAGGCACGGUGACAAGGUGGCAAAGAUGUCACCAUGCCAUCCAAUCACGAGGUCUCCAGGAAACUGUAUAAGAAGGACACCUCCAGAAACUCCUGGCACUACUG
rnacentral:lncRNA from 1 species